CCUCAAAAACAUUCAGCAAAGAGGGUAUGGCAGUGAGGAGAGACAGCGGUUCUCUGCUUUUGCUUCCCUCCCUCCCUCCUUCUUCCUGUGUGUGUGUGUGUUUUUUUUUCUUCUCUGUCUACUUUAUGCUUCUGUUGGAAAUUAGCUGGAAGACAAAGAAGCCAUGUGUUGUGACAGGGCAUGCUUACUGUACCGGUGUGGUUGGGAUUUCCGGUGCACGACCUUCCAGGCAUGGCUGCACAGGUUUUUAAAAGAGUGUGCAGUGAAAGAUUUACUCUGGCAGCUGGAAAGGACAGAGCUCUGAUGGGUUUCGAUCUUAGCAGGGAAGGAGGCUCCCAAGGCGGCAGAACACGUAACUAUCCCUGGACACAUGUUUUUUAUAUGUGGCAAUAAAUACUCAUUAAUUCCUAAUGACAUGAGCUGGGUGUUUGCGUGGGACUACCAUGAUGGCUACAAGGACAUGAGACGAUGUUUGGCAAAAUUUUAAAUAAAUAAAAACAAAAAUGAAAGAC